rnacentral:rRNA from 1 species
GUAGGUGAACCAGCGGAGGGAUCAUUACCGAGUUUACAACUCCCAAACCCCAAUGUGAACGUUACCAAUCUGUUGCCUCGGCGGGAUUCUCUUGCCCCGGGCGCGUCGCAGCCCCGGAUCCCAUGGCGCCCGCCGGAGGACCAACUCCAAACUCUUUUUUUCUCUCCGUCGCGGCUCCCGUCGCGGCUCUGUUUUAUUUUUGCUCUGAGCCUUUCUCGGCGACCCUAGCGGGCGUCUCGAAAAUGAAUCAAAACUUUCAACAACGGAUCUCUUGGUUCUGGCAUCGAUGAAGAACGCAGCGAAAUGCGAUAAGUAAUGUGAAUUGCAGAAUUCAGUGAAUCAUCGAAUCUUUGAACGCACAUUGCGCCCGCCAGUAUUCUGGCGGGCAUGCCUGUCCGAGCGUCAUUUCAACCCUCGAACCCCUCCGGGGGGUCGGCGUUGGGGAUCGGCCCCUCACCGGGCCGCCCCCGAAAUACAGUGGCGGUCUCGCCGCAGCCUCUCCUGCGCAGUAGUUUGCACACUCGCACCGGGAGCGCGGCGCGGCCACAGCCGUAAAACACCCCAAACUUCUGAAAUGUUGACCUCGGAUCAGGUAGGAAUACCCGCUGAACUUAAGCAUAUCAAUAAGCGGAGGAAAAGAAACCAACAGGG